AUUGAACGCUGGCGGCAGGCCUAACACAUGCAAGUCGAACGGUAACAGGAAACAGCUUGCUGUUUCGCUGACGAGUGGCGGACGGGUGAGUAAUGUCUGGGAAACUGCCUGAUGGAGGGGGAUAACUACUGGAAACGGUAGCUAAUACCGCAUAACGUCGCAAGACCAAGAGGGGGACCUUCGGGCCUCUUGCCAUCGGAUGUGCCCAGAUGGGAUUAGCUAGUAGGUGGGGUAACGGCUCACCUAGGCGACGAUCCCUAGCUGGUCUGAGAGGAUGACCAGCCACACUGGAACUGAGACACGGUCCAGACUCCUACGGGAGGCAGCAGUGGGGAAUAUUGCACAAUGGGCGCAAGCCUGAUGCAGCCAUGCCGCGUGUAUGAAGAAGGCCUUCGGGUUGUAAAGUACUUUCAGCGGGGAUGAAGGGAGUAAAGUUAAUACCUUUGCUCAUUGACGUUACCCGCAGAAGAAGCACCGGCUAACUCCGUG
rnacentral:rRNA from 1 species